AUGUGUACCUCGAAAAGGGAUGGAGGCAUGGGUUUCCGCGACUUGAUAGCGUUCAAUCAGGCUCUUCUGGCUAAGCAAGCCUGGCGUGUCUUACAAUACCCGGAGGCGUUAGUGGCAAGAGUGCUCAAGGCACGCUACUUCAAAGAGGAAUCCAUUUUGAGCGCAACGUGUCCUGCUACAGCCUCAUACACUUACAGAAGUAUUCUGCAUGGC
rnacentral:rRNA from 1 species